GGGGGUGUACCGGUUUCGACGGGGGUAUGGAGGCGGGACAAGCGGGCGGCGGCGCCUGACCGCCAUAAAACGGGCAAUUUUAUAAAUUAAAUAACAACAACACUGUUGCUAUUGCUGCCUAAUUAAAGGCGGCCGUCUGAACCGGAGAGGCCACAGGCCGGGGAAGGCGUCGUUGAUGUGGCGUCCGUGAGGCGGGAAAGAGUUGACCUGCCCACGCAUCAUGACUCUCACCUGAACAGGCGGCGUGACGAUUUGCCGCUUGGGAUGGGAACAGGGGAGCAGAUCCCCGCAAUAAUCGUCUGCGCCCGGAGAAAGUCCCGUUAAAAUGCUUUCGGACGGGGGUUCAACUCCCCCCACCUCCACCA
rnacentral:tmRNA from 1 species